CCACUAAGGGUAAGAUUUUUGUAGUUGGAUUACUCACCCGCUGGAUAAAAAUUAGGAAUAGAUUUUGAGAUUGCCUGAAUGCUGGUGGUAGUAGAUCACUAAGACUUACCUGUAGUGAGCUAUAAAGGGAUACAGGUGCAAGAGGAUGUAGUAACUGGCGCAAUGUCCUAGCAUUAAAGUCACCUGGCAAUCUCUUAAAAAUUCCUAACGAAGAUCACACCUAAGACUGACCACAUUGCAAUUUCUUGGGGUAGAACACAGACACCAGUAUUUUUAGAAGCUCCCAGAAAAUUCUAAUGUGCUGAAAAAUUCAGGUACUACUGUGUCAGGCUAUUGAGGGGUAUGGGAGCAACAGUUACUAUAAGGAAAGGGCAGUGGAAUCAGAUGGUUGUUGGUAAUCACUAUUGAUUCUUUGCAGAGAGAAUAUCACAGGCUCAGCUGUAUUAAUCAACAACUUCAAGCAGUGAAAGGGUCAGAGUAUUUCCUCGACAGCAUGUAAAAAGACCCUCAUAUCCUGCAGCUGGAGGGGAGGCACAGCUUAAGAUCAGCCUGAGGAUUUAAUGAGAGAUUUCAAUUGUCUGAAACCUCAGGGCCUACCUAAGAAGUGACCAACUCUCUCUGGUUGGAAGAGAGAACUUCCGUUGCUGAAAGGAUAUAAAGAAACCUCAAAUGAGGCAAUAGAGUCGCCAGAUAAUGUGCAAGAUGUGCAGUUAAAUUUGAGUUUCAGAUAAACAAUGAGCAAUUUUUUUAGUAUCCUAAUCUCUUGUAUCCUGUGUUGUUUUUUUUUUCUUUUUUUUGCUAAAUCUGGCAAUCAUACCUUCAAGGCAAUCCUUAUCCUCUCCAGAAACUGUUCCUACCUCUGUCUGGCCACCAGACACAUAGUUCAGAUCAAGACUCUGCAAAAUCUGACUGAAGGAAUACCAGGCUUGCUAGAAUAUAGAAAAUAUUCCAAAAGAGCUGUCAAAUCUGGCUAGUAUGUAUUGCAGGAACUGGGAGUGGAUCCUGGGGGUGCUGGAUCAAGGAAGGCAGAAUAAAAAUCUAAAUCAGGGAUUUAACAUCUGGCUAUUACAGGAUCCUGAGUGACAAUUUUAAUACACCAGUGGGAUGGCACUCGAAGAUUAGGAAAAAACGUGACAUGUACUUAGCAAAUGAAGUAGAUAUGCAAAAUGUGGAGGAAAGUCUCAAAGGGCUUUGGGAAGCUGGAAUGCUAGAAUGAGCCAGCUUAGAAACCUGACAACCUAUCACUGUCUGUGUUUCUCAGCAAGGCUUGGAAGACAGCUUCCUUAACCAAGGUGAUAAGAAACAUGCUGGUGAGAGGGGGACACACAUCAAAAAGCUAAUCAUAUCUACUUUCCACCGGCCAGGACUGACAGCAGAAGAUACUGUUACAGCAGUGGGCUUCACAGAAUCAAUGGGGAAGACACAGUCCUGGAAUACCAGAGACCAAGGGCAGCACUUAAACAUCAGAAGUAAAAUGAAGUGAAAGUCACUCAGUCGUGUCCAAUUCUUUGAGACCCCAUAGACUAUAUAGUCCAUGGAAUUCUCCAGGCCAGAAU
rnacentral:lncRNA from 1 species